UGACCGUUCCCAAGAAACCUGGGGGAGUAAGGCCAUACGGACAGCCGGGUCAAAUGCCGU
rnacentral:sRNA from 12 species